GUGGGGAAUAUUGCGCAAUGGGGGAAACCCUGACGCAGCGACGCCGCGUGAGCGAAGAAGGCCUUAGGGUUGUAAAGCUCUGUUUUAAGGGACGAAUGUCGUGGGGAGUAAUAUGCUCUGCGAAUGACGGUACCUUAAGAGGAAGCCCCGGCUAACUACGUGCCAGCAGCCGCGGUAAGACGUAGGGGGCGAGCGUUGUCCGGAAUUACUGGGCGUAAAGAGCACGUAGGCGGGAACUUAAGUCAGGUGUGAAAGACCGGGGCUCAACUCCGGGGUUGCACUUGAAACUGGGUUUCUUGAGGGCAGGAGAGGAAAGCAGAAUUCCUGGUGUAGCGGUGAAAUGCGUAGAAAUCAGGAGGAAUACCAGUGGCGAAGGCGGCUUUCUGGACGGUGUCUGACACUGAGGCGCGAAAGCUAGGGGAGCGAACGGGAUUAGAUACCCCGGUAGUCC
rnacentral:rRNA from 1 species